AUUGAACGCUGGCGGAAUGCUUUACACAUGCAAGUCGAACGGCAGCACGGACUUCGGUCUGGUGGCGAGUGGCGAACGGGUGAGUAAUGUAUCGGAACGUGCCCAGUCGUGGGGGAUAACGUAGUGAGAAUUACGCUAAUACCGCAUACGAUCUAUGGAUGAAAGCGGGGGAUCGCAAGACCUCGCGCGAUUGGAGCGGACGAUAUCAGAUUAGGUAGUUGGUGGGAUAAAGGCCCACCAAGCCAACGAUCUGUAGCUGGUCUGAGAGGACGACCAGCCACACUGGAACUGAGACACGGUCCAGACUCCUACGGGAGGCAGCAGUGGGGAAUUUUGGACAAUGGGCGAAAGCCUGAUCCAGCCAUUCCGCGUGCAGGAUGAAGGCCCUCGGGUUGUAAACUGCUUUUGUACAGAACGAAAAGGUUUCUACUAAUACUAGGAGCUCAUGACGGUACUGUAAGAAUAAGCACCGGCUAACUACGUGCCAGCCGCCGCGGUAA
rnacentral:rRNA from 1 species